rnacentral:rRNA from 1 species
AUUGAACGCUGGCGGCAGGCUUAACACAUGCAAGUCGAGCGGGGUGAUGGUGCUUGCACUGUCACUUAGCGGCGGACGGGUGAGUAAUGCUUAGGAAUCUGCCUAUUAGUGGGGGACAACAUCUCGAAAGGGAUGCUAAUACCGCAUACGUCCUACGGGAGAAAGCAGGGGAUCACUUGUGACCUUGCGCUAAUAGAUGAGCCUAAGUCGGAUUAGCUAGUUGGUGGGGUAAAGGCCUACCAAGGCGACGAUCUGUAGCGGGUCUGAGAGGAUGAUCCGCCACACUGGGACUGAGACACGGCCCAGACUCCUACGGGAGGCAGCAGUGGGGAAUAUUGGACAAUGGGGGAACCCUGAUCCAGCCAUGCCGCGUGUGUGAAGAAGGCCUUAUGGUUGUAAAGCACUUUAAGCGAGGAGGAGGCUCUUUUGGUUAAUACCCAAGAUGAGUGGACGUUACUCGCAGAAUAAGCACCGGCUAACUCUGUGCCAGCAGCCGCCGUAA